rnacentral:rRNA from 1 species
GAUGAACGCUAGCGGCAGGCCUAAUACAUGCAAGUCGAACGGGUUUGAGUAGCAAUACUCAAAUCAGUGGCGCACGGGUGCGUAACGCGUAUGCAACCUACCUUAAACUGGGGGAUAGCC